ACGGAGGCUCCUCGCGGUAUCCGGAUAGAAGGGGUUUAAAGGGUGCGUAGGCGGAAGAAUAAGUCAGUGGUGAAAGUUUGCAGCUCAACUGUAAAAUUGCCGUUGAAACUGUUUUUCUUGAGUGUAAAUGAGGUAGGCGGAAUGUGUUGUGUAGCGGUGAAAUGCUUAGAUAUGACACAGAACACCGAUUGCGAAGGCAGCUUACUAAGAUACAACUGACGCUGAGGCACGAAAGCGUGGGGAUCGAACAG
rnacentral:rRNA from 1 species